GUCCCUGAUCCUCUUUAGGUCCCAGUUUUCCCACCUGGGAAAGGAAGGGCGGAUCCUUUGCUUGGGAAGGUCUCCAAUUGCGUUACUAUCCAGUGAGUCUCCCAUUAAGUCUUUUCAGCUGCACUUUCUGAGAAAGGCUGAAGUAAAGCAGUUUUUCCCCCUUCAGGUGGAAAAGAGAGCCGGGGCCAACCCGUCUGGGUGCGGACCUGUCAUUAGGAAGCCAGCUGCCAGCUUGUGUUCCCUUGGGAUGGAGGAGGAGCCCCGCGGUCCCUGCCAGGAGAGGGUCCCUUUAACAAAAAGCUGGUGCCGCCAUCUGCUUUCGCCCUCUGGGUAAUUCAGCUCCUGGGUGCCCUGAUGUGGAGAGUGGCGAGGGAGGCGUUGGGGAGGGGGGGCGGGUAGGUCAGUGGGCAGGCCUCGAUUCAAGGUUCUUAUUGGACUUUAGAGCCUUUACUCGCCGAGUUAAUUUCCCCAACUUGCCUAUCACAGGUUAAUACUGGACCCGUGCAUAAUGAUACAUAAUUUAAGACUUGUAAAAGCUGCCCAGGACUUGAAAGGAACACAGUCUAAGCCAGGAGCCUGUGCCUGGCAUGCAAGAGCAAGUAACACAGCAGAGGCAAGAAAGCAAGCCUCCAUGGAAGCGGAAGUGCUGGAACCUCGCUCAGCCCGAGUUGCAAACCUCUGCAGGCCAGUGGAAGUUUUGUAUUUUUUUCUUUAAAAGCAACUGGUUGUUCACCACACACUCGCUCACUUUAGGGUCGACAGGUGUAUGCUGUUCGGAAAUGUGGCAAACCCGCAGGCUGAUUCCUUGGGCUCUUUGCUACCUAAGAAAGAUUACCAAAUAAGUUAACUUUGACUCACUGACCCCUCAGAUCAGCCAAUAAAAUGAAGCGCUUACACCACAACUUGCUCAAGGGGUAGUGUAAUUGAUUUACUUAAAAAUGAUGUCAGGUGGCAAUUGAGCAACAAACUGGCUUCCAGACUGCUUAAUUCAGUUUAACAAGGAGGAAAAACCUUGUAAUUAACGGAAGAGCUUGAAUACUUUGGAAGCUGUUUUCAAAGUCUGCCAUACCUAAGCUGGGGAGGGUGGGGGUAGGAGGGGACAGCUUGUUGAAAACUAUAAGUUCCCAGGCCCCGCUUGCAAGUCAGGGGCCAGGCCUGGGAUUCUGCAUUUAAGAGAAACCCCUUUGCAAGUUCUGCUUCUCUGCUCAUCACCCAGUCUCACUUGACUUUUAGUUAAGCUCUACUCCCUUUUCUGUUCUAAGUCUACAUUGUAUAUAUAUGUCUAGAAUCCUAGGAGUUUCCCAUCCUAAAGCAACCAGCUUUGAGCUGCUGUUUUCCUGGAGUUUCAUGGUAUAUAUGUACUAAUGUUGGAAUUCUAGUUCAUCACGUUUCUGAUGGGAAAAUUCUUCAUCUUCCAGAGCCUGAUUAUAGAGGGCAUAGAGCUUUCAGGGGGUGGGGGCGGGAAGGUUCUGGGGCUCUUCUCUUGCAGUUUCCUGCCCCCAGGACAACCAGGACUCCAGUGCAGGAUGCCUGCUAUCUGAAGAAAGGUUGACACCUGCCCUUAACAACCAAGGUCCUGGCU
ensembl:lncRNA